rnacentral:piRNA from 2 species
AUUUUAGAACCUGACAAAGAAGAGACU